GAUGAACGCUGGCGGCGUGCCUAAUACAUGCAAGUCGAACGUGAAGCGUGUUUUCGAAUACGUGGAAAGUGGCGCCCGGGUGAGUAACACGUAGCUGAUUUGCCCUUCGCAGGGGGAUAACUUCGGGAAACCGAAGCUAAUACCGCGUACGCUCAUUGGACUUAGAACCCAAUGAGGAAAGCUCCGGCGGCGAAGGAGAAGGCUGCGUUCCAUCAGCUAGUUGGUGAGGUAACGGCUCACCAAGGCCACGACGGAUAGGGGACCUGAGAGGGUGACCCCCCACACUGGAACUGACACACGGUCCAGACUCCUACGGGAGGCAGCAGUAAGGAAUAUUGCGCAAUGGAGGAAACUCUGACGCAGCAACGCCGCGUGCGGGAAGAAGGUCUUCGGAUCGUAAACCGCUUUUCUGAGGGAAGAGCAAGGACGGUACCUCAGGAAUAAGUCUCGGCUAACUACGUGCCAGCAGCCGCGGUAAAACGUAGGAGGCGAGCGUUAUCCGGAUUUACUGGGCGUAAAGCGCGUGCAGGCGGUUUUGUAAGUCGUGCGUGAAAGCUCCCUGGCUUAACCGGGAGAGGUCGUGCGAUACUGCAAAACUAGAGACAGGUAGAGGCAAGCAGAAUUCCGGGUGUAGUGGUGAAAUGCGUAGAUAUCCGGAGGAAUGUCAGUGGCGAAGGCGGCUUGCUGGACCUGGUCUGACGCUCAGACGCGAAAGCAUGGGGAGCGAACGGGAUUAGAAACCCCGGUAGUCCAUGCCGUAAACGAUGUCUACUAGGUGUUGGAGGGUAACUCCUUCCGUACCGAAGCUAACGCGAUAAGUAGACCGCCUGGGGACUACGGCCGCAAGGCUAAAACUCAAAGGAAUUGACGGGGGCCCGCACAAGCAGCGGAGCGUGUGGUUUAAUUCGAGGCUACACGAAGAACCUUACCUGGGCUUGACAUAUUGGUAUAGUGAACUGAAAAGGGAACAACCUUCGGGAGCCAAUACAGGUGCUGCAUGGCUGUCGUCAGCUCGUGUCGUGAGAUGUUCGGUUAAGUCCGGUAACGAGCGCAACCCCCGGAAUUAGUUACAAGUGUCUAAUUCAACUGCCCGAUCAAAUUGGGAGGAAGGUGGGGAUGACGUCAAGUCAGCAUGGCCUUUAUGUCCAGGGCUACACACACGCUACAAUGGCCGAUACAAUAGGUUGCCAACCCGCGAGGGGGAGCCAAUCCACCAAAGUCGGUCUCAGUUCGGAUUGCAGGCUGCAACUCGCCUGCAUGAAGUUGGGGUUGCUAGUAAACGCAGGUCAGCUAUACUGCGUUGAAUACGUUCCCGGGCCUUGUACACACCGCCCGUCACGUCAUGGAAGCUAGUCACGCCUGAAGUCGGUGGGCUAACCGUAAGGAUGCAGCCGCCAAAGGCAGGGCUGGUGACUGGGACG
rnacentral:rRNA from 1 species